ACGCUGGCGGCAGGCUUAACACAUGCAAGUCGAACGGUAACAGGAAUUAGCUUGCUAAUUUGCUGACGAGUGGCGGACGGGUGAGUAAUGCUUGGGAAUCUGGCUUAUGGAGGGGGAUAACUACGGGAAACUGUAGCUAAUACCGCGUAAAAUCUUCGGAUUAAAGGGUGGGACUUUCGAGCCACCUGCCAUAAGAUGAGCCCAAGUGGGAUUAGGUAGUUGGUUAGGUAAAGGCUGACCAAGCCGACGAUCUCUAGCUGGUCUGAGAGGAUGACCAGCCACACUGGAACUGAGACACGGUCCAGACUCCUACGGGAGGCAGCAGUGGGGAAUAUUGCACAAUGGGGGGAACCCUAAUGCAGCCAUGCCGCGUGAAUGAAGAAGGCCUUCGGGUUGUAAAGUUCUUUCGGUGACGAGGAAGGUUGAUAGGUUAAUAGCCUAUCAAAUUGACGUUAAUCACAGAAGAAGCACCGGCUAACUCCGUGCCAGCAGCCGCGGUAAUACGGGGGGUGCGAGCGUUAAUCGGAAUAACUGGGCGUAAAGGGCACGCAGGCGGUGACUUAAGUGAGAUGUGAAAGCCCCGAGCUUAACUUGGGAAUUGCAUUUCAUACUGGGUCGCUAGAGUACUUUAGGGAGGGGUAGAAUUCCACGUGUAGCGGUGAAAUGCGUAGAGAUGUGGAGGAAUACCGAAGGCGAAGGCAGCCCCUUGGGAAUGUACUGACGCUCAUGUGCGAAAGCGUGGGGAGCAAACAGGAUUAGAUACCCUGGUAGUCCACGCUGUAAACGAUGUCGAUUUGGGGAUUGGGCUUUGAGCUUGGUGCCCGUAGCUAACGUGAUAAAUCGACCGCCUGGGGAGUACGGCCGCAAGGUUAAAACUCAAAUGAAUUGACGGGGGCCCGCACAAGCGGUGGAGCAUGU
rnacentral:rRNA from 1 species